rnacentral:snoRNA from 1 species
CGUUGAUGAUUUUCGAAUCCGUGUUUCAGCUGAGCGACGAUGCUGAUACAUGCACGCUUUUCUGUUUGACUUCUGAGGGG